UACGGGGGGAGCAAGCGUUGUUCGGAGUUACUGGGCGUAAAGCGUGCGUAGGCGGUCUUGUAAGUCUGGUGUGAAAUCUCCCGGCUCAACUGGGAGGGUGCGCCGGAAACUGCAAGGCUGGGGUAUGGGAGAGGUAGGCGGAAUUCCUGGUGUAGCGGUGAAAUGCGUAGAUAUCAGGAGGAACACCUGUGGUGUAGACGGCUUACUGGACCAUGACUGACGCUGAGGCACGAAAGCGUGGGGAGCAAACAGG
rnacentral:rRNA from 1 species